UUCCUUGUGGCCCAAUGGCAAGGCGUUCGCCUACGACUAGCGAAAGAUUCCAGGUUCGACCCCUGGCAAGGAAG
rnacentral:tRNA from 1 species